CCUACGGGACGCAGCAGUAGGGAAUCUUCCACAAUGGACGAAAGUCUGAUGGAGCAACGCCGCGUGAGUGAAGAAGGGUUUCGGCUCGUAAAGCUCUGUUGGUAGGGAAGAAAGGUAAAGGUAGGAAAUGGCCAUUAUUUGACGGUACUUACUUAGAAAGUCACGGCUAACUACGUGCCAGCAGCCGCGGUAAUACGUAGGUGGCAAGCGUUGUCCGGAUUUAUUGGGCGUAAAGCGAGCGCAGGCGGUUCAAUAAGUCUGAUGUGAAAGCCAUGGGUU
rnacentral:rRNA from 1 species